UAUUAAAAACUAUACAAAAUUUACCUAAGUCCUUUUUUCCUGGAACCAACGAUUUAUUAACAGAGAAAAAACACAUAUUUUAUAGUAAAACCAACAGCUUUUUUGCUACACUCAGAAUAUAAAAUAAAAUUUUGAGGGGGCUGAUUUCUGAAAUCUGUACACUAAUCUGUAUACAUCAAAAACAGUAUCUGUGGUGAAUAAAAAUAUAUCAACGAUUGAAAAAUUGAUAAAAAUCGUAACACUAAUAAUAUUAAGUUGUUAUUUUUACGUGCUGUUAUAGUAGAGAAUGCCAUAGAUGGAUCUAAUCAACUGGAAACUAAUAUUAUUUUGAAAAUAAAAUGUAUGUCACUUUGAAAAUGACUUAAUAAAAAUAGAAAUGUA